rnacentral:rRNA from 1 species
GUGGAAGGCUGAGAAAGGCAAUUCCGGUUGUCCGGAGCCAUCAGUGAGAUACCACUCUGGGAGAGCUAGGAGUCUAAUGGCGUUCCUUGAAUCAGGACGCUUGACAGUUUCAGGUGGGCAGUUUUACUGGGGCGGUAGCCUCCUAAAAGGUAACGGAGGCGUGCAAAGGUUCCCUCAGGCUGGACGGAAAUCAGCCAUAGAGUGUAAAGGCAGAAGGGAGCUUGACUGCAAGACCUACAAGUCGAGCAGGGACGAAAGUCGGCCUUAGUGAUCCGACGGUGCCGUGUGGGAGGGCCGUCGCUCAACGGAUAAAAGUUACUCUAGGGAUAACA